UCGAUAUAACUUAUAAUUAUCCAAAAUAAAACCAUCCUCCCAAACAAUAUAGAUUAAGGAACUUCAAGCACAGUGUAAUGAUUAAAGGCCUGUUAACAUCUGAACUAAAAAUCCAUGACAAAGAGAAAGUAAAAAAAUGUGUAUACCCUCCUCCAACCAGCAGCAGGCCAACAACGAGCUUAGGCAAUUGGUUCUUUGCAGACUGCAUAAGACUUUGGAAAACUGAUGCUGGAGUGAACUCGGCGCCAUCAACAGCGAACGAGAAGAACGAUGCAGAGAAGAAACGGGAAGAUUUUUUCAAUGAUGCCUUUUGAGGUGGAGGUGAGCUCUCUUUCAUUGCAUCCUUCUGCAUUUCCUGUUUCCUAGCUUGUGGCCGGUCAAUUCUCACUUGUGCAUUCUUCUCUUGAUUGGAAGUAUUGUCAAUUUGAGCCAAGUCUUCAGCAGACAGUCUCUCCUGAACAGGCUCACCAACUAAAACAUCCCCAUAGGUUAGCAAAUCAAUUUCUUUUCCAAUAUCAACAUUGAGCUCAUUGUCUACCUUCUCGCCCUCGAGAACAGCCUCGUCACCAGAAAAGUAUCCCUGUGCUGUCUCGGAGGUAUCAACAUUAGACCCAGAGAGGAACUUUUCU
rnacentral:lncRNA from 1 species